rnacentral:rRNA from 1 species
GAUGAACGCUGGCGGCGUGCUUAACACAUGCAAGUCGAACGGUGAAGGCCUACCUGGCGCUUCUGGGUCAGUGGGGAACGGGUGUGUCACGCGUGAGCACUCUGCCGCUCACUCUGGUAUACGCGCUGGAAACGGCGUCUAACCCUGGAUGCGACCUUCGAAGGCAUCUUCAGCAACUGGAAAUAUUUUCGGGCAGGAAUGAGCUCGCGGCCUAUCAGCUUGUUGGGGAGUUAACGGCUCACCAAGGCGUCGGCGGUUAGCCGGCCUGGGGGGGUGACCGGCCACACUGGGCCUGGGAAACGGCCCAGACUCCUACGGGAGGCAGCGGUGGGGAAUAUUGAACAAUGGGCGAAAGCCUGAGGCAGCAACGCCGCGUGGGGGACGACGGCCUUCGGGUUUAAAACCUCUUUGAGCAGGGAAGAAGCGAUAGUGACGGUACCUGCAGAAAAAGCGCCGGCUAACUACGUG